AGAUCUGAGGGGAUCUGGCUGCCUAGGCAGAUGUCCCCUUCCUCCCUCACCAUUCCAUGUGCAUCCCUCCCAAAGCUGUUUUUCUCAGUUGAAGAGGAUGACCUUCCCUGAUAUAGGAGGAGCAUUCUUCUUAGGUCAAGGGUAUAUAAGUAGCUGUGCUGCCCUGCUUGAACCUCCAAACAAGCUCUCAGGGUCCAUUCAUAGGAGAACUUAGGGUAGUUGAGUUUCCAAGACUCCAGAUACAUCCAAAUGAGGUGCUGCAUGAGGCAGUCUGCAUUUCUCA
ensembl:misc_RNA 7SK 7SK RNA